rnacentral:rRNA from 1 species
UACGGAGGGAGCUAGCGUUGUUCGGAAUUACUGGGCGUAAAGCGCACGUAGGCGGCUUUGUAAGUUAGAGGUGAAAGCCCGGGGCUCAACUCCGGAACUGCCUUUAAAACUGCAUCGCUUGAAUCCAGGAGAGGUGAGUGGAAUUCCGAGUGUAGAGGUGAAAUUCGUAGAUAUUCGGAAGAACACCAGUGGCGAAGGCGGCUCACUGGACUGGUAUUGACGCUGAGGUGCGAAAGCGUGGGGAGCAAACCGG